UCCUCCUCCUCCUCCUCCUCCUCCUCCUCCUCCUCUUCUUUGCCAGCCACUGGAGGGGGAGGGGGAGGGGGAGGGGGAGGC
rnacentral:miRNA from 1 species